CAAGCCAGAGAAGCAGCAGGGGGGGAAAAGAGCAGACAAACUGUUAGCUUAUCAUAUUUUACUCUGUUUCAGCCCUGUGGUUGAACAGAUGUUCGUCCGCUGGCCACCAGAUUGCAAUCUUACAGUUCAGUGGCCAAUCGGAGCUCAUUUGCUCUUUGUAGCACAGAUGGUAUUUCACCGUCGGUGAGGACAAAUAUCAGUGAAUGCAGUUUGCAGGUAGAAACAAAUAAAAGUCAAGUCAGGAUGCCCCAGUUAACGUGAUCUAUGGCUGCCGGCAUUCUGCAGAUGUGAGGAUUCCUGAGAGCAGGAGGCUCCGGCUCGACAGCCUCAUUCAUUCGAUCCGACAGAAAUUCCUCCCCGUCCUCAGUCUGCAAAUGGAUGGAAAUGAGAGCGAGGGCGAGAACACAGGUGAACGGUCGCAACGUGAUCCCGUCCUCCAGGGUUUGCUCCGCCACCUCUGACCGGCCUGAAUUAUUUAUCCAGUACACGCCAGACCGCUGGAGAGUGUGCCAGGGUCGUCAAGGCAACCGCUGCCGUUUUUUUUUUUUCCUGCCCACACCGAUAAACUACAAACCCACACA